rnacentral:rRNA from 1 species
AUUGAACGCUGGCGGCAUGCUUUACACAUGCAAGUCGAACGGCAGCACGGGCUUCGGCCUGGUGGCGAGUGGCGAACGGGUGAGUAAUAUAUCGGAACGUACCCAGAAGUGGGGGAUAACGUAGCGAAAGUUACGCUAAUACCGCAUACGAUCUAUGGAUGAAAGCAGGGGACCGCAAGGCCUUGUGCUCCUGGAGCGGCCGAUAUCUGAUUAGCUAGUUGGUGAGGUAAAGGCUCACCAAGGCGACGAUCAGUAGCUGGUCUGAGAGGACGACCGGCCACACUGGAACUGAGACACGGUCCAGACUCCUACGGGAGGCAGCAGUGGGGAAUUUUGGACAAUGGGCGCAAGCCUGAUCCAGCAAUGCCGCGUGAGUGAAGAAGGCCUUCGGGUUGUAAAGCUCUUUUGUCAGGGAAGAAACGGUAGAGGCUAAUAUCCUUUGCUAAUGACGGUACCUGAAGAAUAAGCACCGGCUAACUACGU